rnacentral:misc_RNA from 1 species
GAAAUGCGAUAAGUAGUGUGAAUUGCAGAAUUCAGUGAAUCAUCGAAUCUUUGAACGCACAUUGCGCCCCUCGGCAUUCCGUGGGGCAUGCCUGUUCGAGCGUCAUCUACACCCUCAAGCUCUGCUUGGUGUUGGGCGUCUGUCCCGCCUCCGCGCGCGGACUCGCCCCAAAUGCAUUGGCAGCGGUUCCUUGCCCCCCUCUUUGCGCAGCACAUUGCCAUUCGAGGCGGCGGCGGCCCGCGUCCAACAAGCUCAACCCCCCCGUCUUUGACCUCGGAUCAGGUAGGGAUACCCGCUCAACUUAAGC